UCAGGAUGAACGCUGUCGGCGUGCUUAACACAUGCAAGUCGAGCGAAGCACUUUUGCGGAUUUCUUCGGAUUGAAGCAAUUGUGACUGAGCGGCGGACGGGUGAGUAACGCGUGGGUAACCUGCCUCAUACAGGGGGAUAACAGUUGGAAACGGCUGCUAAUACCGCAUAAGCGCACAGUACCGCAUGGUACCGUGUGAAAAACUCCGGUGGUAUGAGAUGGACCCGCGUCUGAUUAGCUAGUUGGUGGGGUAACGGCCUACCAAGGCGACGAUCAGUAGCCGACCUGAGAGGGUGACCGGCCACAUUGGGACUGAGACACGGCCCAAACUCCUACGGGAGGCAGCAGUGGGGAAUAUUGCACAAUGGGGGAAACCCUGAUGCAGCGACGCCGCGUGAGCGAUGAAGUAUUUCGGUAUGUAAAGCUCUAUCAGCAGGGAAGAAAAUGACGGUACCUGACUAAGAAGCCCCGGCUAACUACGUGCCAGCAGCCGCGGUAAUACGUAGGGGGCAAGCGUUAUCCGGAUUUACUGGGUGUAAAGGGAGCGUAGACGGCAUGGCAAGCCAGAUGUGAAAGCCCGGGGCUCAACCCCGGGACUGCAUUUGGAACUGUCAGGCUAGAGUGUCGGAGAGGAAAGCGGAAUUCCUAGUGUAGCGGUGAAAUGCGUAGAUAUUAGGAGGAACACCAGUGGCGAAGGCGGCUUUCUGGACGAUGACUGACGUUGAGGCUCGAA
rnacentral:rRNA from 1 species